AAUGAACGCUGGCGGCAGGCCUAAAACAUGCAAGUCGAACGCUGUAGCAAUACAGAGUGGCGCACGAGUGAGUAACACGUGGGAAUGUGCCUUUUGGUACGGAACAACGUCGGGAAACUGACGCUAAUACCGUAUGGUCCCUCCGGGGUAAAGAUUUAUCGCCAAAAGAGCAGCCCGCGUCUGAUUAGCUAGUUGGUGAGGUAAUGGCUCACCAAGGCGACGAUCAGUAGCUGGUCUGAGAGGACGAUCAGCCACGCUGGGACUGAGACACGGCCCAGACUCCUACGGGAGGCAGCAGUUAGGAAUCUUGGACAAUGGGCGCAAGCCUGAUCCAGCCAUGCCGCGUGAGUGAUGAAGGCCUUCGGGUUGUAAAGCUCUUUAGCCGAUGAAUAUAAUGACUGUAGUCGGAAAAUAAGCCCCGGCUAACUUCGUGCCAGCCGCCGCGGUAA
rnacentral:rRNA from 1 species